GGGUCAGUAGGUUGGUCGUGCCACCGGUACGUACUGGACUCACUGAUUCCUCCUUCCUGAAGAACCGUAAUGCCAUUAAUUUGGUGUUGCGGGGAAACAGGACUGUUACUUUGAAAAAUUAGAGUGUUUAAAGCAAGCUAACGCUUGAAUACAUUAGCAUGGAAUAAUGAAAUAGGACGAUCGAUCCUAUUUUGUUGGUUUCUAGGAUUGACGUA
rnacentral:rRNA from 1 species